rnacentral:rRNA from 1 species
CACGUAGAAGACUAGUGUUAUUCAUCUUUAUUAGGUUUAAAGGGUACCUAGACGGGAAAUCAAGCCAUAACAGGGACUAAUUUUCUAGAGUUUAUGAGAGAAGGGCGAAUUUCUGGAGGAAAGUUGAUAUUUUGUGAUACUGGAAGGACGGGUAACAGCGAAGGCAACCUUUUAUGUAAAAACUGACGUUGAGGGUACGAAGG